CUCAGGACGAACGCUGGCGGCGUGCUUAACACAUGCAAGUCGAGCGGAAAGGCCCUUCGGGGUACUCGAGCGGCGAACGGGUGAGUAACACGUGAGUAACCUGCCCUAGGCUUUGGGAUAACCCUCGGAAACGGGGGCUAAUACCGGAUAUGACCUUUCCUCGCAUGAGGGUUGGUGGAAAGUUUUUCGGCCUGGGAUGGGCUCGCGGCCUAUCAGCUUGUUGGUGGGGUGAUGGCCUACCAAGGCGACGACGGGUAGCCGGCCUGAGAGGGCGACCGGCCACACUGGGACUGAGACACGGCCCAGACUCCUACGGGAGGCAGCAGUGGGGAAUAUUGCACAAUGGGCGGAAGCCUGAUGCAGCGACGCCGCGUGAGGGAUGACGGCCUUCGGGUUGUAAACCUCUUUCAGCAGGGACGAAGCGCAAGUGACGGUACCUGCAGAAGAAGCGCCGGCCAACUACGUGCCAGCAGCCGCGGUAAGACGUAGGGCGCGAGCGUUGUCCGGAUUUAUUGGGCGUAAAGAGCUCGUAGGCGGCUUGUCGCGUCGACCGUGAAAACUUGGGGCUCAACCCCAAGCCUGCGGUCGAUACGGGCAGGCUAGAGUUCGGUAGGGGAGACUGGAAUUCCUGGUGUAGCGGUGAAAUGCGCAGAUAUCAGGAGGAACACCGGUGGCGAAGGCGGGUCUCUGGGCCGAUACUGACGCUGAGGAGCGAAAGCGUGGGGAGCGAACAGGAUUAGAUACCCUGGUAGUCCACGCUGUAAACGUUGGGCGCUAGGUGUGGGGGGCCUCUCCGGUUCCCUGUGCCGCAGCUAACGC
rnacentral:rRNA from 1 species